rnacentral:lncRNA from 1 species
CGUAUGCGAAGGGCCAGAGAAGCCAGACCCAGUAAGAAAAAAUAGCCUAUUUACUUUAAAUAAACCAAACAUUCCAUUUUAAAUGUGGGGAUUGGGAACCACUAGUUCUUUCAGAUGGUAUUCUUCAGACUAUAGAAGGAGCUUCCAGUUGAAUUCACCAGUGGACAAAAUGAGGAAAACAGGUGAACAAGCUUUUUCUGUAUUUACAUACAAAGUCAGAUCAGUUAUGGGACAAUAGUAUUGAAUAGAUUUCAGCUUUAUGCUGGAGUAACUGGCAUGUGAGCAAACUGUGUUGGCGUGGGGGUGGAGGGGUGAGGUGGGCGCUAAGCCUUUUUUUAAGAUUUUUCAGGUACCCCUCACUAAAGGCACCGAAGGCUUAAAGUAGGACAACCAUGGAGCCUUCCUGUGGCAGGAGAGACAACAAAGCGCUAUUAUCCUAAGACCCUUCACCCCUCACCUCGAUGCAGCCAGUAGCUUGGAUCCUUGUGGGCAUGAUCCAUAAUCGGUUUCAAGGUAAUAGCCUGCAGCUGGUGUUUUGAGAAGCCCUACUGCUGAAAACUUAACAAUUUUGUGUAAUAAAAAUGGAGAAGCUC